UCCUUAGUACUGCAUGCUGCCUAAGGCAUCACGCAUGCCCCCUUCCCUAGAAGGGGGUGGGCGGUAUCUAGAAUCAAGUUUGGACCCAAGGCUUGAUGUUUGCUGUCCCUAAAGAGUUCGGAUUGCCAUGGACUCUUACAGAGAGGGAUCCAUCGCUGGUCUCUUCAAGUCCAUGUGGGGAAAGACGAUCUUUCAAUAUGGUAUCAGAGCGAUAUUGGGGUUUCAACAUGGUAUCAGAGCGGUACCGAGUUUCAAUAUCCCUUCAUCUCGCCAAGACUUAAAACCUUGCUUUUAACAUAUCCAACUUUGAGAUAUAGUCACCUAUUUUGCCAUGUUUGGUGUGUAGUGGUUGCAUCUAUCAUCCAAGGUUUCAAAUGCCAAACCAUGCUGACGAGUGUAUAUUGUGAUAGACCAUAUUAGCAAUUGAUAAGAGUUGGUACAACUCCAAUUAUUUAUAU
rnacentral:lncRNA from 1 species